rnacentral:lncRNA from 1 species
AGUGACGCCAUCAGCCGUCGCCUGAGCCGUGGCGCGCGGGUGGCCGAAAGGCGAAAGUGAGAUUUCAAGGGCCGGGUCUGGGGCCCCGCGGGCGCGCAGUGCUGCGGCGUGUGGGGAGUACGGGGAGGCUGGAGAGGAGCCGGCCCCGGGCAGUGUGAGGUGCGGAAGCGCGGUCCAGACACUUUGCUGACGGGAGGCCGGUCCGCCAGAUCCGGGAGGUGGGGCCUCGUUCUGGACUGCUGAUUUUCUUCACAGAAAUCAUGCCGUCUGUGAAUGAAGGGAGUUAUACUUCUUAUUUUCCAAAUGGAGAUUUUAUUUUUCUUGCAUGACUUCACUGGCUAGAACCACUACUACAAUGCUGAUUAGAAGUGAUAAGAAACAGAGGCAAAUGCAGGUUAAGGAACCUCACAGUAAGGGAUAAAACUCAUAUUUUAACCUGAUCUGCCUGAUUCUGGAGCCUGCACCAUCAUUCCAUUGUCGUGCUUGCCACAUGUCUCUUUGAGGCUUGCUAAAAUUGAUAUCCAUGAGUUCUAUCAAUUCUGGGACAGAGAACAAAUUGUGUUCUGUAAGGAUGGAGGGACAGCGAGGAAUUUGCCAAGACAUUUUGGAGUUUCUGAAAUAAAACCCACUUGAUCCCUUCUAUGUUCAUCUCCUGCGCUGGAUUUGAUUCAUUAAUAUUUUAUUUCAGUUUUUAAAUCUGUAUCUAUAAAUGACAUUCACACACCAUUUUUCAUUCUUGUAUUAUCCUUUUAUUAUCCUUAUCUUGUAUUAUCCUUGGUUUCAAUUUUAAGGUAAAUUGGGUAGUAUGUUAGUCAGGGUUCAGUUUAAGAUAACAGAUUCCAUCCUGAAAAAAAAAGGAUUUAUCCUGUGAGGUGCUAAAUGGAUUACUUACAGACAUGUUUUGAGAACUGAAGAAAGAGACUUAUUUGCAUUUCCAGGAACUGUGACUAAAUCCGUAUAGCAGAACUGAGCCCCCAGGGAAGAUACUGCCAGUGUUAUAAUCAAGAAUUUGAAACAUUAUGAAGAUGCCAUAUCUUCCACGAUCAGGAAGCCACUGAAUCAGGAACUUAUGCUGUCUCCAAAUCAGGAUACAGAAGCUGCUCUAGUUGGCAGCUCCAGAAUCACAUCACUUCUGCUAAUCAGGAAGGUAUCUGCAGUCAGGACCCCAAUGCCCAGCUGUGUCACCAGCCCCCACAGCAAAAUGGAUGCCCUGCGUCCUAAACCUCUUCCCAUUUGAUUCACUUCCAAAUUAAAGUUUCAAAUGGG